GAAGCAUUUAAAAAUUAUGCUCAAACAUGCAGUUUUAAUGACCUUACACCUAUUUGGGGGAAAAGUGUCUUUUAGCCAUAUCUCACAGAGAUAAAUAUGUAUCCACUUUGCUCUCCCAGAUCCUGUUCCUUGAACUCCAUCAAACUAGUCAGAUAGUUUUACAUUGGAGUGUACAAAUUAUCCCAUGUUGACAGAUGUUUGUCACUUAGUAACUUCUUUCCAAGUUUUUCCCCCUCCCCUAAGCUUUCUUUCCAGCUUGCUUUGUUGUUUUAAAAUAUGCAUGUCUCUCACUGGAAUGCCAGUCACGAGUGCAAACUUUGUGUCCAACCUCCCACAUGAAAUGAUCCUUUUAAAGGGAACUCGAUAUGUCUCAAUCUGCACUUCACUCAAAGCCUCUGGGUACGGGCCACUCACUCACUGGUCCUGGCUCCAAAAUAACUCAGCAGAAACGAGUUUCCAACUAAAAAUCCCCUCGAAUGUCUCCCAGGGAAGAAAUAUAGCUCCUAUAAUUAAAGGAGGCAACGACCAGAGGGGAAAUGCAGCCGGCAGCCAAAAAAGAAAAAUUCAAUUUUGAGGAAUUUUCACCUAGAGGAAUCCAAGAUCUUCAGUCAAAACAGCAAUUUCUGGGGAGGUAGAUGAUGGGGGGAGGGGUAGCAGAGGGGUUAUAACUUGCUGAACAUUUCAGUAAGAACAGUAAUCAACAUGAGAUGCGGUGGUCCUGAGUAGUGUUCCAUGGCAAGCAGAGGUUUACAUUUUUUAGGUUCAAGAGCAGGUAAAUGUCUUCGUUUGGAAUUCAACUGUAGUUAAAAAAUUGGGAGACUUGGUUUCUUUUUCACUUGAAAGAAUAAGAACAUUUUAGGAAAUUUCUGAUGCCUGACCUAAAGUCCUCUCAUCUUUCUUCAGAUAGAGAAUAAAAUACUUCAAAACUAUGCAAUUCUUUAAGGGAAAAAUUUUUCUCUUAAAUGUUUCUUUUUUCCUGAUGUUUUUGUUGAUGACAGUAAACUGCCUGAUAAGAAACUGACAGAUCACUUCAAAUAAAAGGCACUGUAUUACAUGCUCUGAAAUGAAAUUCAUAUCUAAGGCCUUUUGCAGAAUUAAAUCAUGCACCUAGUAUAUUCCUUAAUAAUCUAGGUAAAGAUAUAUUUUCCAGGAUUUUAAUAACUCCAUAAAAAGUCUCUCUCUGCAUGUGUCUUUAUCCCUUAUAGUAUUUCAAAUUUGGCAGACUGCCUACAAAGUAAAGAUACCAACAGUUUAAAUAAAAUUUUUCUUUAAUGAAAUAAAGCCAACCUUACACACAAAUGCACAUUACAUACAGAUAAUUUACAGGUUCAAUGAACUUGAAGCAUUGAAAUAUUUAUUCCAAUGCCUUGCAGAUUUGAAGAUGAAAAAUUUAUUUAACAGAAGUGUACAAACAUUCACGGUAACCAACAUAUACAGAACAUCUACUAUAUUAUAGGCAUUGAAAAGACAUAGACAUAUUGUAUAUGUUGUCUGUGUAUUUCAGGUGAAACGGACAGGAAUGGGCACAUGUAUUUCAUGGAUGAAUACGUGUGUAUGAGACAUAUAUAUAUAUUUUCAAUUAGGUAGCUUUCUUUUUUUAAAUCUUGAGUUACUCUAAAGAAGAAAAUAAACUUUAUACUCACUUGUAGUUAAUCGAGCUUCAUUUUGGCUAAUCAUAAUUUGACCAGUGAUUUUUUUCCUCAGAGCAUGAAGGACAGUGCUUAGAAUUUAAAAGUUUAGUGCACCCAAAAUGCUGCUCUUCUUAAGCCACUUUGAAGUAAUGCUAGUGAGUCUACGAUCCAGAUCUACAUGUUAAUCUCUAGUUUUGCCUUCAAACAGAAUUCAGUUACAAAGACCUUGGAAAGAUUUUGAAUCUAUUCAGGAGAGAAAAACCUUUAAUUUUCUGAGGAGUAAAAACUCCCCAAGAAACUUCAUAUAGCUUCUUAGAUUUUGCUUAGCAUACGUGAUAAAACAUUGAUUGUUGCAGUUUGGUGACCCAUGAAAUUUGGGGGUUAGUUUUCUCUUCAGACCAGAGCAUAUAAUUAUGCAAAUAAAGAGCUGUCACUGAUCUAGUGAAAUACUCACAAACACAUGCACUCUGAAAUUGGACAGAAAAGUGAAAAUGGUUGGUGAUGUGAGGGUGCCAUGGUUUGUUUUCCUGCCAAGUUUCUAUCCAAAUUCAUUAUUCAAAUUGUAAACUUUAAAAAGAGACAUAGCAUUCUUGGGGUGUUGGUUGUCUUUUCAUUUCAGAUUCUUUGUAUUGGUAUUGCAGGCUGACCACAAAGUACACUUCAACAUUAUUUUACCUGUGACAGUUCUCCAUAUUACCCGAGGUAAUAGCCAAGGAAGAGAAAGAUGAAUGAUCUAAAAGGAAAGAUGCAGGACUUCUCUAGAUU
ensembl:lncRNA